CCCAGCACUUAAAGGAACACAACAGUGAUAGAAAUAAAAAAUGAUAUGCCCAACGCUAUAGUGCCCUAGUGACCAUUUAGGUGACCAGAUCCCUACUGCCAGGGUUAGAAAGUUGCCUUUACUUACCUUUUCUCCCUCGCAGCGUUGGUCUCUGGCACACCGUUCCGCCUUCUUGUCUGAGAUCAUCGAGAUUGAUCCAAUAGGAAAGCAUUGGUAGGCUAAUGCACAUGGGACCAUUUGAUUGAAAUAGAUAAGCUUUACUCCACUAUUUCAGCAGAGGUGCCUCUAGUGGCUGUAUGGCACUAUAACAGCCAAUAGACACAGGUUACUCCUACAAUGGAAACAUUGCUGUUCC